CCUACGGGAGACGGCAGUGGGGAAUAUUGCACAAUGGGCGAAAGCCUGAUGCAGCAACGCCGCGUGAAGGAAGAAGGCCUUCGGGUUGUAAACUUCUGUUCUCGGGGAAGAAGAACUGACGGUACCCAUGGAAGAAGCCCCGGCUAACUACGUGCCAGCAGCCGCGGUAAUACGUAGGGGGCAAGCGUUAACCGGAAUUAUGGGGUGAAAAGGGUGCGUAGGUGGAAAACUAAGCUCAGGGUUAAAGUCGAGGGCUAAACCAUGGUUCGCCCUGGAAACUGGGUUGCUUGAGUACAGGAGAGGAAGGCGGAAUUCCUAGUGUAGCGGUGAAAUGCGUAGAUAUUAGGAGGAACACCAGUGGCGAAGGCGGCCUUCUGGACAGUAACUGACGCUGAGGUACGAAAGCGUGGGGAGCAAACAGGAUUAGAUACCCCUGUAGUC
rnacentral:rRNA from 1 species